rnacentral:tRNA from 1 species
GUGCGGGACACCGAGUAGGUCGCAGGUUCGAAUCCUGCAUCGUCCACUUUGUAUUGGAUAAACCGAGUAGGCCGUAGGUUCAAUCCCUACAUCGCCCACCA